rnacentral:rRNA from 1 species
GGAAAAUAAUGAUAUCACUUUACUAUUAGUGUUGUCCAAAACUGGUGCCAGAAGACUCGGUAAUGCCAGAGACGCGAGCGUUAGUCCUCUUGAUCAUGCGUAAAGGGUUUGUAGGCUGCUUUAAUGAAUUAUAAGCUAGAAUCAUAUAGAGGUCACUGUCAGAUAAUACUUAGAGUUAGGGUUGAUAUCUUUAGAUACUAAGUGGAAUUCUAAUUAGCGAAGGCUCUUUUCCAAUUAAUGAUUGACGCUGAGAAACGAAGGGGAGGAUAGACAAUAGGAUUUGAUACCCUGGCCAUCCCUCUCUGUCAACGAUGAAUGGUAGUUGCUAGUUCAAGAAGCUAGUGGCGAUGUUAACACGUUAACCAUUCCGCCUUGCGAGUACAAUUGCAAAAUUGAAAACAAAAAAAUUAGUCGGUUUCGGAGCAAACGAAGUGAAGCAUGUUAUUUAAUU